rnacentral:rRNA from 1 species
UACGUAGGGGGCAAGCGUUAUCCGGAUUUACUGGGUGUAAAGGGAGCGCAGACGGCAGUGCAAGUCUGAUGUGAAAGCCCGGGGCUCAACCCCGGAACUGCAUUGGAAACUGUACAGCUUGUGUGUCGGAGAGGUAAGCGGAAUUCCUAGUGUAGCGGUGAAAUGCGUAGAUAUUAGGAGGAACACCGGUGGCGAAGGCGGCUUACUGGGCUUCAACUGACGCUUAAGCGCGAAAGCUAGGGUAGCGAACCGGAUUAGAUACCCGGGUAGUCCCUGAGCGGG